GAUGAACGCUGGCGGCGUGCCUAAUACAUGCAAGUCGAGCGAACAGACGAGGAGCUUGCUCCUCUGACGUUAGCGGCGGACGGGUGAGUAACACGUGGAUAACCUACCUAUAAGACUGGGAUAACUUCGGGAAACCGGAGCUAAUACCGGAUAAUAUAUUGAACCGCAUGGUUCAAUAGUGAAAGACGGUUUUGCUGUCACUUAUAGAUGGAUCCGCGCCGCAUUAGCUAGUUGGUAAGGUAACGGCUUACCAAGGCGACGAUGCUUAGCCGACCUGAGAGGGUGAUCGGCCACACUGGAACUGAGACACGGUCCAGACUCCUACGGGAGGCAGCAGUAGGGAAUCUUCCGCAAAGGGCGAAAGCCUGACGGAGCAACGCCGCGUGAGUGAUGAAGGUCUUCGGAUCGUAAAACUCUGUUAUUAGGGAAGAACAAAUGUGUAAGUAACUAUGCACGUCUUGACGGUACCUAAUCAGAAAGCCACGGCUAACUACGUG
rnacentral:rRNA from 1 species